rnacentral:rRNA from 1 species
GGGUCAUUAGGUUGGUCGUGCCACCGGUACGUACUGGUCUCACUGAUUCCUCCUUCCUGAAGAACCGUAAUGCCAUUAAUUUGGUGUUGCGGGGAAACAGGACUGUUACUUUGAAAAAAUUAGGGUGUUUAAAGCAAGCUAACGCUUGAAUACAUUAGCAUGGAAUAAUGAAAUAGGACGAUCGAUCCUAUUUUGUUGGUUUCUAGGAUUGACGUA